CCUCUCUCUCCCUGCUCGAAACUUUGAAACUUUCCUUUAUCUGUUACACAUUAAUCCAUAUGAGAAAAUAUAUUUUAAUGAGGAGUGAUAUAGUUACAAACUCUCUAGAGCCAUAAUUAGAGCAAACUAAUUGAAGUUGUGUUUUGACACACUUUCCAAAUUCACGGGUGCUGCAUGACAUAUUCACAACGCUGUUGCCGCACAGCCGCGGUGACGGCAAAAUCAUUAGGCUAAUAACGUUGAUUUGCAUUCUUAUCAUGCCAAGCAGCGUGCCGUUAACUACUGCUUCAGCCUCAGCUCCCAAAGUUUCCACUGAACGAUGUUAACAGUAAUUAUUAGUACUUUGGUGGAAUCUGCAAUGCAAAGAA
rnacentral:sRNA from 1 species